rnacentral:misc_RNA from 1 species
CGACCCUCAAGCCCCCGCGGCUUGGUGUUGGGGCCCCCUACGGCGCUCGCCGUAGGCCCCGAAAUGCAUUGGCGGACCCGACGGGACCCCGAGCGCAGUAGCACUUGUUCUCGCUUAGGGCGUCGCGGCGGGCACCGGCCGUAAAACCCCCUCACGGGCGCCUCCGGGCCCCGCGAGGCACAACCAA